ACGACUACGGAGGAUCAAGCACAUACUAAAUUAUAUAGCAAGCUCCAAGAAUGGUUUUUAAAAUUGUAAAGAGAUUUCCGGAAUUACUUAUCUUUUUCCUAUGUUGCCGCUCAGUUCUUCUGGAUUGAAUUCUCCUUAUUUCACAAACCACACAUACAUAUAAGACAUACCAUUAUGUACUUUUCAGAUUUUAAAAUUAGAAUAAAGCACCCUAACAAAUACAAACAGAAAUAUAUGUAUUCUUAAUUGCAUAUCAUUUUUAUAGACGAUAAUUUAAUGUUUCAUUCGUUUCAAAAAGAUCCAUGUUUAAAAAAAAAUGAUUUCAGAAAAUACAUUUUUUAUAUUUUCAAUGCAUAAAUUAAUUGUAAAUUGUAAACUUCAAAAACAUAAUUGUGUUUACUGAAAUUCUAUUGGUUAAAAAUUGUGGAGAAUAGUUAAUUACAAAAACUAAUGCAUUGGUAAUUAAAAUCUAAUACGUAGGUUCAUCAACCAAUAGUAUUUUGUUAUUUCAUAUUCCAUAUUUUUAAAGAAACAAAAUAAUAAAUAUUUGUUAGGGCAAAUCUCCAAAAUAACACAUUUCUAAGUUUAUAUCACAAAAAUAGCACUCAAAAACUAAAAUGACCAAAAUAGCACAUUUCUAAGUUUAUCCUUUGAAAAUUUUAAUUUUUUUAUAUUUCAAAAUUUGAAAUCUUAUCCCCAAAACCUCAUUUCUCAACUCUAAACCCUAAACCCUAAACUCUAAACCCUAAACCCUAAACCCUAAACUCUAAACCCUAAACCCUAAACCCUAAAUCCUAAACCCCACCCUUUAACUCUAAACCCUAAGUUUGUGACUUUUGAUAAAACAUUAAGUGCUAUUUUUGUGACUUUUGACCUUGAGUGCUAGUUUGGGAACAUAAACUUGAUUUAGUGCUAUUUUUGUCUUUUUCUCUAUUUGUUAAGUUAUAUUAUUUUUCAAAAAUAAGAAAAAGUAAAAAAAAAAUAGUAGUAGUUGUAAAAAAACAACUUUUUAAAAAAUAUUUCUAACAUCAAAACACUAAACUCUAAAUACUAAACAUUAACCCAUUGGGUAAACUUUAAACCAUUGGAUAAAUCUUAAAUCCUAAAUCAUAAAUAUUAAGCACUAAAUUUUAAAAAUACUAAACUCUUAAUUCUAAACCCAUGGGUAAACAAUAAACUCAUGGU
rnacentral:lncRNA from 1 species